AGAAAGGGUUAGGGUAAAGGCUUACAUGAACAUUGAACUCAAGCGAAUCCACCCUCUCCUUCACGAACAAAUAGACGACGGCGCAGUGAAUCGAGUCCUUCUCCGAUCGGAGCUUCUCCGUCUUGAGCCCUCCGUCUCCGGUUCCACUUCUCUUAUCUUUGCUCGCCUCGCACCUCGUUCUCACGAUCUCCAAUCAACUCAACACUUGCCGCAACUACCUGAGAACUCAACCUCCUCUGACGAAGACCCUGUCUACUUCUUCAUACUUCUGACUCCUGAUCUGAUGCGCUAUGGAUUGCGAAUCGUAAUGUUGAAUGAUGCAGUCAUGGUGUCAAAGACGUGCGUUGAAGACUCGUUGCAGUGGCGCGACGAUGUUCGUUGAUGUUUGCGCGUAUGUUGAGGUUCGUUGAGGAUGAUGAAAAAGAUGAAGAAGAUUCAAGAUCGAGAAAAGUUUGUCACGAGUUGAGUCUCUGUUAUGUGAUUUCUCUGAUGAACGAUGGAGGACUUGAAGCUUGAGGUGUGAUUUUCUUGUGGUGAUUGAAGGAUGAAGAACUCUGGAUCGAUGAAGAUGAAGAUGAAGAUGAAGAUUGGAGCCAAAGUUUGUUACGCUUUGAUUAUCGGUUAUUUUGAUUCAAGUGAGCAUGGAGCAUUCAUUUUGAUAUCAAACCUCGAGCAUAAACACGAAUUGGAUUGUGUACGAGCGACUGUCGAACACAUAGAGGUUCUCUGCGCUUUCUUUUGGAACAUGAUCAGUACGCAUAAAGUAAGUAGCCUUUAGGGCAUUUAUGCUUAGACUGAGCUUUGUGGCAGACUUAACGUUGCUUCAGACCCAUUGAACUUGAAUUGAACCCAAACUGCUUAAAGGAUCUCUGAAUAUAACUCAGUGGGGAUGAUGGUGAUGGUAGCUAUAACUUAGUUUACACUCCUCUUUUAGUUUGCUAUUUGAAUAUGAAUGUGGACAUGGUAUGACUGGAACUGUUAGUUUGUUAAAUGGUGCAACAGGCUGUUGGUCUAGGAUGUGGAGAAGUUUUAUGGUAUGAACAUGGGUUAACCUCCUUGCUGCUGCUCAGGCGGAAGCAGCUCGUUUUGGUUUAGAUGUGAAUUGUUUGGCUAUGCUGCAAGUUUGGUAAAUUGAAAUAUGACUGCAAGCAGGUUGACAAUUGUGUGAGUAAUGCAAGGCUUUCCUUUGAUGUGGAAGAAAGUGUGAGCUGUAUGUUAAUUCCACUGGUUUUACGCUUUGGUUCAGAUGCUUGGAGUUCGGGCAGAGAAACAAGUCCAUAGUCAAACUAGGAUGUAGUUUUUUUUGUGUAAAAUCUUUUUGGUGAUGUAAUAUGAAAGUUUUUUUUGUAACGGUUUAUGACUUGUGCUCAUUUGACUCAUAGAGUAGAAUAGGACUUUUUGGAUAUGAUUGAAAGUGUAAUGUGAAAGAACUUUGUAAAAGGGCAUUGAAUGGUAUAUUCUUUUUGUAUGAUUUUUCUGUAUUGGGUAUUUGACUUUUGUAAUUUGAAUGUGGACCUUUUUGAAUAUUAUGUAACAUGAAUUGAACUUGUGUAUUGAAAUUUGACGUGGUUAUUUUGAAUUGGAAUUUGAUAGUUUGAAUCGAACGCUUGAAUGAUGAUCGGUAUUCACAUGACUUGGGCUUGAAACUUGGAUGAUAAUGAACAUAAACGUAAAGAUCUUGAAUGAAUGGUUGAAUGAAUUUGAAUGGAAUUGCACCAAUGCCUAACAAAUCUUUUUGAUGAAUAAUCAUGCACGUCUUAGUCUUGUAACUGGAAUACCAAGCACUUUCGAUUACUCCUCUCCUUUUUUAUGCAAAUCCAUUUCAAGUCUUUAAGAAUAAACUCAAGUCCACUCUAACUUGUAUUGCAAGCAACAAGUAAAAA